GAGAAGUGCGGGUGCUAAUACAUGCAAGUCGAGCGGACAGAAGGGAGCUUGCUCCCGGAUGUUAGCGGCGGACGGGUGAGUAACACGUGGGUAACCUGCCUGUAAGACUGGGAUAACUCCGGGAAACCGGAGCUAAUACCGGAUAGUUCCUUGAACCGCAUGGUUCAAGGAUGAAAGACGGUUUCGGCUGUCACUUACAGAUGGACCCGCGGCGCAUUAGCUAGUUGGUGAGGUAACGGCUCACCAAGGCGACGAUGCGUAGCCGACCUGAGAGGGUGAUCGGCCACACUGGGACUGAGACACGGCCCAGACUCCUACGGGAGGCAGCAGUAGGGAAUCUUCCGCAAUGGACGAAAGUCUGACGGAGCAACGCCGCGUGAGUGAUGAAGGUUUUCGGAUCGUAAAGCUCUGUUGUUAGGGAAGAACAAGUGCAAGAGUAACUGCUUGCACCUUGACGGUACCUAACCAGAAAGCCACGGCUAACUACGUGCCAGCAGCCGCGGUAAUACGUAGGUGGCAAGCGUUGUCCGGAAUUAUUGGGCGUAAAGGGCUCGCAGGCGGUUUCUUAAGUCUGAUGUGAAAGCCCCCGGCUCAACCGGGGAGGGUCAUUGGAAACUGGGAAACUUGAGUGCAGAAGAGGAGAGUGGAAUUCCACGUGUAGCGGUGAAAUGCGUAGAGAUGUGGAGGAACACCAGUGGCGAAGGCGACUCUCUGGUCUGUAACUGACGCUGAGGAGCGAAAGCGUGGGGAGCGAACAGGAUUAGAUACCCUGGUAGUCCACGCCGUAAACGAUGAGUGCUAAGUGUUAGGGGGUUUCCGCCCCUUAGUGCUGCAGCUAACGCAUUAAGCACUCCGCCUGGGGAGUACGGUCGCAAGACUGAAACUCAAAGGAAUUGACGGGGGCCCGCACAAGCGGUGGAGCAUGUGGUUUAAUUCGAAGCAACGCGAAGAACCUUACCAGGUCUUGACAUCCUCUGACAACCCUAGAGAUAGGGCUUUCCCUUCGGGACAGAGUGACAGUGUGCAUGGUGUCGUCAGCUCGUGUCGUGAGAUGUUGGGUUAAGUCCCGCAACGAGGCGCAACCCUUGAUCUUAGUUGC
rnacentral:rRNA from 1 species